AGCCCAUAAUGAGGGCACAAUCUCAUUAUCUCCUUGAAGCGCUCGCUGGAGUCAUAGAGAGAUUCUUCUUCUUUUGUGAAAAAAAAUGUAAUUUGAUUUCUCAAUU
rfam:Cicer arietinum chromosome Ca4, whole genome shotgun sequence.